CCUACGGGGGGCUGCAGUGGGGAAUAUUGGACAAUGGGCGAAAGCCUGAUCCAGCCAUGCCGCGUGUGUGAAGAAGGCCUUCGGGUUGUAAAGCACUUUCAGUGGGGAAGAAAGCCUUGGGGCUAAUACCCUCGAGGAAGGACAUCACCCACAGAAGAAGCACCGGCUAACUCCGUGCCAGCAGCCGCGGUAAUACGGAGGGUGCGAGCGUUAAUCGGAAUUACUGGGCGUAAAGCGCGCGUAGGCGGUCUGAUAAGCCGGUUGUGAAAGCCCCGGGCUCAACCUGGGAACGGCAUCCGGUACUGUCAGGCUAGAGUACAGGAGAGGAAGGUAGAAUUCCCGGUGUAGCGGUGAAAUGCGUAGAGAUCGGGAGGAAUACCAGUGGAGAAGGCGGCCUUCUGGACUGACACUGACGCUGAGGUGCGAAAGCGUGGGUAGCAAACAGGAUUAGAUACCCGUGUAGUC
rnacentral:rRNA from 1 species